AUUGUUGUGUUAGUAAAAGAAGCGAAACUUCUCGCUUCCAUACAGCCAAUGGGCAACAAGAAGCGAAAUGUUUCGCUUCCAUUCCCGCAACACAUAUAUAUGCACUAUUGUUGUGUUAAUAAAAGAAGCGAAACUUCUCGCUUCCAUACAGUCAAUGGGCAACAAGAAGCGAAAUGUUUCGCUUCCAUUCCCGCAACACAUAUAUAUGUACUAUUGUUGUGUUAGUAAAAGAAGCGAAACUUCUCGCUUCCAUACAGCCAAUGGGCAACAAGAAGCGAAAUGUUUCGCUUCCAUUCCCACAACACAUACCAUUGUUGUGUUGACGUAAAAGAAGCGAAGCAUCUCGCUUCCAAAGACCAAUGAAAUAUAAACUAAAUUCCACUGUCACCAUUGUAAUCACGCGAAGAUUUAAGGUCCAUACACGCCGGACGCGAUUCGACAACGCAACGCGAUUUUUCGAUUUUCACUGAACGAUAACUUUGAUCCUAGUUUACAUUUCCCAAAUAUUUAGAAGCGCUGUAACAUUUUGAGUUAUUUGGUCUACAUAUCAUUCAAAAUUUG
rnacentral:lncRNA from 1 species